GACGAACGCUGGCGGCGUGCUUAACACAUGCAAGUCGAACGGAAAGGCCCUGCUUUUGUGGGGUGCUCGAGUGGCGAACGGGUGAGUAACACGUGAGUAACCUGCCCUUGACUUUGGAAUAACUUCAGGAAACUGGGGCUAAUACCGGAUAGGCGCUCCUGCUGCAUGGUGGGGGUUGUAAAGUUUCGGCGGGUGGGGAUGGACUCGCGGCUUAUCAGCUUGUUGGUGGGGUAGUGGCUUACCAAGGCUUUGACGGGUAGCCGGCCUGAGAGGGUGACCGGCCACAUUGGGACUGAGAUACGGCCCAGACUCCUACGGGAGGCAGCAGUGGGGAAUAUUGCACAAUGGGCGGAAGCCUGAUGCAGCAACGCCGCGUGCGGGAUGACGGCCUUCGGGUUGUAAACCGCUUUCGCCUGUGACGAAGCGUGAGUGACGGUAAUGGGUAAAGAAGCACCGGCUAACUACGUGCCAGCAGCCGCCGUAA
rnacentral:rRNA from 1 species